GAGAAUGCGCACCAUGGCAACCGCCCACUCAGCCUGAUUUAUCCGUCCCCGUCGCCCUGGCGACCGUGGUGACGUCAUCAUUUCUGCUGCUCCACACACCCGGGGAAGGAGUGUGGAGGGGGGUGGGAACAGGUGAGAAUGGAGAAGUUCCCAGUUUCACUCUCCGUCUGCUGCUUGGUGAGAAGACUUGGAUAUCACUCCCACAGGUGGGACUUGGAGCACUGGAACCACACCUGGCCCUCCCUCCACCUGAUAGCGGACAGUCCCACUUCCAGUGACCCGAAG